UUAAGCGACUAAGCGUACACGGUGGAUGCCCUGGCAGUCAGAGGCGAUGAAGGACGUGCUAAUCUGCGAUAAGCGUCGGUGAGGUGAUAUGAACCGUUAUAACCGGCGAUUUCCGAAUGGGGAAACCCAGUGUGUUUCGACACACUAUCAUUAACUGAAUCCAUAGGUUAAUGAGGCGAACCGGGGGAACUGAAACAUCUAAGUACCCCCGAGGAAAAGAAAUCAACCGAGAUUCCCCCAGUAGCGGCGAGCGAACGGGGAGGAGCCCAGAGCCUGAAUCAGUGUGUGUGUUAGUGGAAGCGUCUGGAAAGGCGUGCGAUACAGGGUGACAGCCCCGUACACAAAAAUGCACAUAUUGUGAGCUCGAUGAGUAGGGCGGGACACGUGGUAUCCUGUCUGAAUAUGGGGGGACCAUCCUCCAAGGCUAAAUACUCCUGACUGACCGAUAGUGAACCAGUACCGUGAGGGAAAGGCGAAAAGAACCCCGGCGAGGGGAGUGAAAAAGAACCUGAAACCGUGUACGUACAAGCAGUGGGAGCCUCUUAAUGGGGUGACUGCGUACCUUUUGUAUAAUGGGUCAGCGACUUAUAUUCUGUAGCAAGGUUAACCGAAUAGGGGAGCCGAAGGGAAACCGAGUCUUAACUGGGCGUUAAGUUGCAGGGUAUAGACCCGAAACCCGGUGAUCUAGCCAUGGGCAGGUUGAAGGUUGGGUAACACUAACUGGAGGACCGAACCGACUAAUGUUGAAAAAUUAGCGGAUGACUUGUGGCUGGGGGUGAAAGGCCAAUCAAACCGGGAGAUAGCUGGUUCUCCCCGAAAGCUAUUUAGGUAGCGCCUCGUGAAUUCAUCUCCGGGGGGUAGAGCACUGUUUCGGCAAGGGGGUCAUCCCGACUUACCAACCCGAUGCAAACUGCGAAUACCGGAGAAUGUUAUCACGGGAGACACACGGCGGGUGCUAACGUCCGUCGUGAAGAGGGAAACAACCCAGACCGCCAGCUAAGGUCCCAAAGUCAUGGUUAAGUGGGAAACGAUGUGGGAAGGCCCAGACAGCCAGGAUGUUGGCUUAGAAGCAGCCAUCAUUUAAAGAAAGCGUAAUAGCUCACUGGUCGAGUCGGCCUGCGCGGAAGAUGUAACGGGGCUAAACCAUGCACCGAAGCUGCGGCAGCGACACUAUGUGUUGUUGGGUAGGGGAGCGUUCUGUAAGCCUGUGAAGGUGGCCUGUGAGGGUUGCUGGAGGUAUCAGAAGUGCGAAUGCUGACAUAAGUAACGAUAAAGCGGGUGAAAAGCCCGCUCGCCGGAAGACCAAGGGUUCCUGUCCAACGUUAAUCGGGGCAGGGUGAGUCGACCCCUAAGGCGAGGCCGAAAGGCGUAGUCGAUGGGAAACAGGUUAAUAUUCCUGUACUUGGUGUUACUGCGAAGGGGGGGGACGGAGAAGGCUAUGUUGGCCGGGCGACGGUUGUCCCGGUUUAAGCGUGUAGGCUGGUUUUCCGGGCAAAUCCGGAAAACCAAGGCUGAGGCGUGAUGACGAGGCACUACGGUGCUGAAGCGACAAAUGCCCUGCUUCCGGGGAAAAGCCUCUAAGCAUCAGGUAACAUCAAAUCGUACCCCCAAACCGACACAGGUGGUCAGGUAGAGAAUACCAAGGCGCUUGAGAGAACUCGGGUGAAGGAACUAGGCAAAAUGGUGCCGUAACUUCGGGAGAAGGCACGCUGAUAUGUAGGUGAAGCGACUUGCUCGUGGAGCUGAAAUCAGUCGAAGAUACCAGCUGGCUGCAACUGUUUAUUAAAAAACACAGCACUGUGCAAACACGAAAGUGGACGUAUACGGUGUGACGCCUGCCCGGUGCCGGAAGGUUAAUUGAUGGGGUUAGCGGUAACGCGAAGCUCUUGAUCGAAGCCCCGGUAAACGGCGGCCGUAACUAUAACGGUCCUAAGGUAGCGAAAUUCCUUGUCGGGUAAGUUCCGACCUGCACGAAUGGCGUAAUGAUGGCCAGGCUGUCUCCACCCGAGACUCAGUGAAAUUGAACUCGCUGUGAAGAUGCAGUGUACCCGCGGCAAGACGGAAAGACCCCGUGAACCUUUACUAUAGCUUGACACUGAACAUUGAGCCUUGAUGUGUAGGAUAGGUGGGAGGCUUUGAAGUGUGGACGCCAGUCUGCAUGGAGCCGACCUUGAAAUACCACCCUUUAAUGUUUGAUGUUCUAACGUUGGCCCGUAAUCCGGGUUGCGGACAGUGUCUGGUGGGUAGUUUGACUGGGGCGGUCUCCUCCUAAAGAGUAACGGAGGAGCACGAAGGUUGGCUAAUCCUGGUCGGACAUCAGGAGGUUAGUGCAAUGGCAUAAGCCAGCUUGACUGCGAGCGUGACGGCGCGAGCAGGUGCGAAAGCAGGUCAUAGUGAUCCGGUGGUUCUGAAUGGAAGGGCCAUCGCUCAACGGAUAAAAAGGUACUCCGGGGAUAACAGGCUGAUACCGCCCAAGAGUUCAUAUCGACGGCGGUGUUUGGCACCUCGAUGUCGGCUCAUCACAUCCUGGGGCUGAAGUAGGUCCCAAGGGUAUGGCUGUUCGCCAUUUAAAGUGGUACGCGAGCUGGGUUUAGAACGUCGUGAGACAGUUCGGUCCCCUAUCUGCCGUGGGCGCUGGAGAACUGAGGGGGGGCUGCUCCUAGUACGAGAGGACCGGAGUGGACGCAUCACUGGUGUUCGGGUUGUCAUGCCAAUGGCACUGCCCGGUAGCUAAAUGCGGAAGAGAUAAGUGCUGAAAGCAUCUAAGCACGAAACUUGCCCCGAGAUGAGUUCUCCCUGAGACUUAGAGUCUCCUGAAGGAACGUUGAAGACGACGACGUUGAUAGGCCGGGUGUGUAAGCGCAGCGAUGCGUUGAGCUAACCGGUACUAAUGAACCGUGAGGCUUAACCU
rnacentral:rRNA from 1 species